UACGUAGGUCCCGAGCGUUGUCCGGAUUUAUUGGGCGUAAAGCGAGCGCAGGUGGUUUAUUAAGUCUGGUGUAAAAGGCAGUGGCUCAACCAUUGUAUGCAUUGGAAACUGGUAGACUUGAGUGCAGGAGAGGAGAGUGGAAUUCCAUGUGUAGCGGUGAAAUGCGUAGAUAUAUGGAGGAACACCGGUGGCGAAAGCGGCUCUCUGGACUGUAACUGACGCUGAGGCUCGAAAGCGUGGGGAGCAAACAGG
rnacentral:rRNA from 1 species